rnacentral:rRNA from 1 species
GGCCUAACACAUGCAAGUCGAGCGCGCCUUCGGGUGAGCGGCGGACGGGUUAGUAACGCGUGGGAACGUGCCCUUCUCUACGGAAUAGCCUCUGGAAACGGAGAGUAAUACCGUAUACGCCCUUUGGGGGAAAGAUUUAUCGGAGAAGGAUCGGCCCGCGUUAGAUUAGGUAGUUGGUGGGGUAACGGCCUACCAAGCCUACGAUCUAUAGCUGGUUUUAGAGGAUGAUCAGCAACACUGGGACUGAGACACGGCCCAGACUCCUACGGGAGGCAGCAGUGGGGAAUCUUAGACAAUGGGGGCAACCCUGAUCUAGCCAUGCCGCGUGAGUGAUGAAGGCCUUAGGGUCGUAAAGCUCUUUCGCCUGUGAUGAUAAUGACAGUAGCAGGUAAAGAAACCCCGGC